rnacentral:rRNA from 1 species
AGAGUUUGAUCAUGGCUCAGAACGUACGCUGGCGGCACGCCUAACACAUGCAAGUCGAACGAAGUAGCAAUACUUAGUGGCAGACGGGUGAGUAACAUGUAGGUAUCUGCCCUUUGGCCUGGAAUAACACGAGGAAACUUGUGCUAAUACCGGAUAAGUCUUUACAGAGAAAGCUUUAUGCACCAUUGGAUGAGCCUGCACUUGAUUAGUUUGUUGGUGGGGUAAUGGCCUACCAAGACUGUGAUCAAUAGCUGAUUUGAGAGGAUGAUCAGCCACAUUGGGACUGAGACACGGCCCAAACUCCUACGGGAGGCAGCAGUGGGGAAUCUUGCACAAUGGAGGAAACUCUGAUGCAGCGAUGCCGCGUGAGUGAAGAAGGCCUUUGGGUUGUAAAGCUCUUUCGUCGGGGAAGAAAAUGACUGUACCCGAAUAAGAAGGUCCGGCUAACUUCGUGCCAGCAGCCGCGGUAAUACGAAGGGACCUAGCGUAGUUCGGAAUUACUGGGCUUAAAGAGCUCGUAGGUGGUUAAAAAAGUUGAUGGUGAAAUCCCAAGGCUCAACCUUGGAACUGCCAUCAAAACUUUUUAGCUAGAGUGUGAUAGAGGUAAGUGGAAUUUCUAGUGUAGAGGUGAAAUUCGUAGAUAUUAGAAAGAACACCAAAUGCGAAGGCAACUUACUGGGUCACUACUGACACUGAGGAGCGAAAGCAUGGGUAGCGAAGAGGAUUAGAUACCCUCGUAGUCCAUGCCGUAAACGAUGAGUGCUAGACGUUGGAAAUAUAUUUUUCAGUGUCGCAGCGGAAGCAUUAAGCACUCCGCCUGGGGAGUACGACCGCAAGGUUAAAACUCAAAUGAAUUGACGGGGACCCGCACAAGCAGUGGAGCAUGUGGUUUAAUUCGAAGAUACGCGCAGAACCUUACCAACGCUUGACAUGUUCGUCGCGAGACUAAGAGAUUAGUUUCUUCAGUUUGGCUGGACGAAACACAGGUGCUGCAUGGCUGUCGUCAGCUCGUGUCGUGAGAUGUUGGGUUAAGUCCCGCAACGAGCGCAACCCUCACUUUUAGUUGCCAUCAUUUAGUUGGGCACUCUGAAAGAACUGCCAGUGAUAAGCUGGAGGAAGGUGGGGAUGACGUCAAGUCCUCAUGGCCCUUACGUGUUGGGCUACACACGUGCUACAAUGGUAUUUACAACAGGAAGCGAGACGGCGACGUUAAGCAAAUCCUUAAAAAAUACCUCAGUUCGGAUUGCACUCUGCAACUCGAGUGCAUGAAGCUGGAAUUACUAGUAAUCGUGGAUCAGCGUGCCACGGUGAAUGCGUUCCCNGGGUCUUGUACACACCGCCCGUAA